UUUGAUCCUGGCUCAGAUUGAACGCUGGCGGCAGGCCUAACACAUGCAAGUCGAACGGCAGCACAGAAGAGCUUGCUCUUUGGGUGGCGAGUGGCGGACGGGUGAGUAAUGUCUGGGAAACUGCCCGAUGGAGGGGGAUAACUACUGGAAACGGUAGCUAAUACCGCAUAACGUCGCAAGACCAAAGUGGGGGACCUUCGGGCCUCACACCAUCGGAUGUGCCCAGAUGGGAUUAGCUAGUAGGUGGGGUAAUGGCUCACCUAGGCGACGAUCCCUAGCUGGUCUGAGAGGAUGACCAGCCACACUGGAACUGAGACACGGUCCAGACUCCUACGGGAGGCAGCAGUGGGGAAUAUUGCACAAUGGGCGCAAGCCUGAUGCAGCCAUGCCGCGUGUAUGAAGAAGGCCUUCGGGUUGUAAAGUACUUUCAGCGGGGAGGAAGGCGGUGAGGUUAAUAACCUUGCCGAUUGACGUUACCCGCAGAAGAAGCACCGGCUAACUCCGUGCCAGCAGCCGCGGUAAUACGGAGGGUGCAAGCGUUAAUCGGAAUUACUGGGCGUAAAGCGCACGCAGGCGGUCUGUUAAGUCAGAUGUGAAAUCCCCGGGGCUUAACCUGGGAACUGCAUUUGAAACUGGCAGGCUUGAGUCUCGUAGAGGGGGGUAGAAUUCCAUGUGUAGCGGUGAAAUGCGUAGAGAUCUGGAGGAAUACCGGUGGCGAAGGCGGCCCCCUGGACGAAGACUGACGCUCAGGUGCGAAAGCGUGGGGAGCAAACAGGAUUAGAUACCCUGGUAGUCCACGCCGUAAACGAUGUCGACUUGGAGGUUGUGCCCUUGAGGCGUGGCUUCCGGAGCUAACGCGUUAAGUCGACCGCCUGGGGAGUACGGCCGCAAGGUUAAAACUCAAAUGAAUUGACGGGGGCCCGCACAAGCGGUGGAGCAUGUGGUUUAAUUCGAUGCAACGCGAAGAACCUUACCUGGCCUUGACAUCCAGAGAACUUAGCAGAGAUGCUUUGGUGCCUUCGGGAACUCUGAGACAGGUGCUGCAUGGCUGUCGUCAGCUCGUGUUGUGAAAUGUUGGGUUAAGUCCCGCAACGAGCGCAACCCUUAUCCUUUGUUGCCAGCGGUUCGGCCGGGAACUCAAAGGAGACUGCCGGUGAUAAACCGGAGGAAGGUGGGGAUGACGUCAAGUCAUCAUGGCCCUUACGGCCAGGGCUACACACGUGCUACAAUGGCGCAUACAAAGAGAAGCGACCUCGCGAGAGCAAGCGGACCUCAUAAAGUGCGUCGUAGUCCGGAUUGGAGUCUGCAACUCGACUCCAUGAAGUCGGAAUCGCUAGUAAUCGUAGAUCAGAAUGCUACGGUGAAUACGUUCCCGGGCCUUGUACACACCGC
rnacentral:rRNA from 1 species